CCAAAAGCAACUCGGGGAGGAAAGGUUUUAUUUGGCUUACAUAUCUGGAGUCGCAAUCCUUUGAGGGAAGCCAAGGAGAACCAUAGGUUUGAUCCGACUGUGCUACACGGUGACAAAACUACUACUAAUAACACGGUAAAUAAAACUACUACUGAUGAUACUGUCAAUAAUAAAUUUACAGUCUGCAUUCAAAUGGACGGGAUGAAACUUACGUGACAGAAGGACGGACUCUGGGACGGAAACCCGUGAGAUUGGUUUAACUUACCGAAAUGCAGUCGGGCUCUUCUCCAGCCUGAAAGGCAAAGGCGGGGCUUGUUACCGCAGAGUAGAAGAGGAGGCAGCCCAGAGGGCGGAGCCAAACCCUGGGCAAGCGCAUCUCACCUGCGUUGGCAGCCGCUCUUUUCAACUCUAGGGAAGAGGAAACAGGGAGUGAGCUGUCUGUCACUGGACGUACGGGGCAGGAGAGCGAAACUGAGUCACUCAGCGCCAAGCAGAGACAGCAGCGGCAAGAAGAUGGUGCAAGAGAACUUGACAGAACUUACUGAGGGCUUUGUGGAGUCUUCCUGCAAACCAGAGAGAGAGAGGAAUAAGUGACCAGAGCCUGACCCUUUAUCCUUGGAAGGCUCACCACUCGGCCACCCCUGCAAAGGAAAGGUCGGAGCUGCCUCCAUCAGCUCCUCAUCCAAUCCUGGUUUUGAAGAUGACCCAAAUGCCAAGAAGGAUGAGGAGUCCCAAGAUAGGCAAGACCACAGAGAGAGCCACCUCUGGAGAGGACAGACUUGUAGG